rfam:Gossypium raimondii chromosome 2, whole genome shotgun sequence.
AAUCUGUGAUGUGGGCAUUUUUUAAUAAUCUUUUUAAAGUGCUUCCAAUCUUCUUAAAAACUUUCUCUUUCUAAUUGCCUAAAUGUAGCAAUCUCUUUCCUUAGUUG